rnacentral:ncRNA from 2 species
CCGCACGCGUCGGGAGAGCGCGUGGCCGCGGGUUUUCGCGCGCCGCGCCGCCGAAGGGGCACACCCACAAACUCUCAGGCAAAAGGACCGGCCGCGUCGAA